rnacentral:rRNA from 1 species
AGCGAACGCUGGCGGCAGGCCUAACACAUGCAAGUCGAGCGCCAUAGCAAUACGGAGCGGCAGACGGGAGAGUAACACGCGGGAACGUACCCUUUGGUUCGGAACAACCCAGGGAAACUUGGGCUAAUACCGGAUAAGCCCUCACGGGGAAAGAUUCAUCGCCGAAGGAUCGGCCCGCGUCUGAUUAGCUAGUUGGUGGGGGAAUGGCCCACCAAGGCGACGAUCAGUAGCUGGUCUGAGAGGCUGAUCAGCCUCACUGGGACUGAGACACGGCCCAGACUCCUACGGGAGGCAGCAGUGGGGAAUAUUGGACAAUGGGCGCAAGCCUGAUCCAGCCAUGCCGCGUGGGUGAUGAAGGCCCUAGGGUUGUAAAGCCCUUUCGGCGGGGAAGAUAAUGACGGUACCCGCAGAAGAAGCCCCGGCUAACUUCGUGCCAGCCGCCGCCGUAACAC